AACGAACGUUGGCGGCGUGGUUGAGGCAUGCAAGUCGCGGGAGAAUGACGGGGCAACUCGUCUAGUAAACCGGCGAAAGGGUGAGUAAUGGGUAGAUGACGUACCUUGGAGAUGGGGAUAACGGUUCGAAAGGACCGCUAAUACCCGGUAAGACCACGGAUGUGCGCAUCUGGGGUCAAAGGCGGGGGACUCUUUGGAGCCUCGCGCUCUGAGAUCGGUCUACUCCCUACCAGCUAGUUGGCGGGGUAAUGGCCCACCAAGGCGACGACGGGUACCCGGGCUAAGAGGCUGACCGGGCACAUCGGCACUGAGACACUGGCCGGACACCUACGGGUGGCUGCAGUUCGGAAUAUUGGGCAAUGGGCGCAAGCCUGACCCAGCGACGCCGCGUGGAGGACGAAGGCCCUCUGGGUUGUAAACUUCUGUCACGGGCGAACAAAUCGGUUCAAGUUAACACCUUGAGCCGUUGA
rnacentral:rRNA from 1 species